CGUGUAGAUCCGGCAACGUAAAGAUCUACUCCGGCGUUGCACGGCCCUGCCCCGGUCAUCUGCCCACGACGCAGCAGGUGGAGGUCGCCGUGGAACCCGGCUUCUACGACGCCCAGCUCCAAGCUCGUCUCGCCCGCCGCCGGACGACCUCGCCAAGCCGCACGCGACGCGACGCCUGCGACGACCGAGCCACACUCGUGCGCAGCAGGUGGAGGACUAGGUCGCCGCGGAACCCAGCUUCUACGACGCCCAGCUCCAAGCUCGUCUCACCCGCCGCCGGACGACCUCGCCAAGCCGCACGCGACGCGACGCCUGCGACCCCUACACCGGCCUCUGGAACUGGUCCAUGUCCGUCCCUUGCUCCCCUCCUCUUAUCUGUCUCUCUAUUUCUUUUGUUCAGAAAGUCUAUGCUUUGUUACUUGGUUCUCAUGUGGGAUAGGAUGCAAGAGUUUUAAUUUGGUAGUGAUUUGUUACUGCUUGUUAAGUGCUACUAAUUUUGUCUGAAUCAUGCGCUUCUGAAUCCUAGAUAGAUAGUAUUGUUUCAGCACCUGCAUUUUGUAUUGAUCUGAACCUGCAUAAAUUUCUUAUUGAAGUGGACAACACGAUGGCUUGUGACAGUGGAUCCAACAAUGCAGAUAGCAGAGCAUAUCUCCAUGCAUCAAAAGCUUUGUUUUUAGCACUACUACUACUAUUAGGCAAUAGCAAUCACUACAUUAAACCUGCAAUUUCUUAUUGGUCUGAGCCUUUUUAGCUUGGUCAUCUCGAAGUUAUGUGAGCCUUUGAGGGAUACAAUUUUGUUGGAAAUGUACUGAAUUGAAAUUCACUUGCGGCAUGAAAAAAUUGCUAGCCUCAAGAUGUCUUUUAUAAAAUCACUGUGCUUUAAGGGGUACAAAUUCUGAAAGAUCAUCUUUCUUGUAGCAAAUUCACAAGUUUGAGAAAGUUCAAUUCAGUUUUGUUCAGCAACUUUUGAUUUUUGUGUAUGUAACUCCUUCCUCAAGCUGUCUGGAUCUUGAUUACUAUGCAGGGAUACAUACAUAUUGAAAAACUAGUUUCCUGUUUAGAAGGGCCAUGCACAAAUGAAUAUGUGUUUCUCUUUUUAUUUAUUGUAUCUGUGUAAAGAACAUUAACUUUGGAACAAUUUCCAAGCAUACAUGAAAAGGAAGGAGCCUGAUCUAAAGAAG
rnacentral:lncRNA from 1 species